rnacentral:rRNA from 1 species
UACAGAGGUCUCAAGCGUUGUUCGGAUUCAUUGGGCGUAAAGGGUGCGUAGGCGGCGCGGUAAGUCGGGUGUGAAAUCUCGGGGCCUUAACUCCGAAACUGCAUUCGAUACUGCCGUGCUUGAGGACUGGAGAGGAGACUGGAAUUUACGGUGUAGCGGUGAAAUGCGUAGAUAUCGUAAGGGAAGACCAGUGGCGAAGGCGGGUCUCUGGACAGUUCCUGACGCUGAGGCACGAAGGUCAGGGGAGCAAACGGG